AUCAUGCGGUGCUGCCUAAAAAAUCCAGCAGGAGAUGGGAUUUACAAGGUUUCACAGGAAAAAGGAAGCUGGUGUUUGUUAGACUUUGCAAGCCUGAACUCAUGGACUUCAUCAACAGCACUACACCAAAUUGAAUUAUACCUAUUCAAUAAAAGGUAAUUUUUUUUUCCCCCAAAGAAUCUAAGACGAUCCUUAGAUUUUAAAGUUUUUAAUCCAUAAUUCGGAAAAAUUCCAUCCUGUUAAAGGUAUACAGCUGUGCUAAAAGACUGUCUGUAAUGCAAACCGAUUGGUGACUAGUUAAAUAAAAGCUAAUGCAAAUAAAGAAACUACCUUCACUAAAGCGAGCACUGAAGCCCCUGUGCUGGAAGGUUCUAUCAGAGCGCAGCCGGACGUACAUCUGAUUCCUGGAGGAUGUGAUAGGAGAAGGAUGUUGUGUUCCACAGAGUACUCUAAGAAGGGGUGCUUCAUUGCUAGGACCAUCAAAAACAGUAACGUUGUCAUAGUUACAUAAACGGUGAUCUUCGAUGUCAAAAUCCGUGAAGUUCAAUAGGACUCUGUGGCUGUAGUCAACUUGGAUAAGCCAAGAACAGUCUGUGUUGUUACUAUAAGGCUCAGGAUAGUUUGGAGAAUGGAUUUCCCCACUGUUCGCUUGAAAAAU
rnacentral:lncRNA from 1 species